UAUCGGAUUGAUACUAAGCCAUGCGAGUCAUUGUAGUAAUACAAGGCAGACGGCUCAGUAACGCGUAGUCAACCUAACCUAUGGACGGGGAUAAUCUCGGGAAACUGAGCAUAAUACCCGAUAGAACAUUAUGCCUGGAAUGGUUUAUGUUCCAAAUGAUUUAUCGCCGUAGGAUGGGACUGCGGCCUAUCAGUUUGUUGGUGAGGUAAUGGCCCACCAAGACUAUUACAGGUACGGGCUCUGAGAGGAGUAGCCCGGAGAUGGGUACUGAGACACGGACCCAGGCCCUAUGGGGCGCAGCAGGCGAGAAAACUUUGCAAUGUGCGAAAGCACGACAAGGUUAAUCCGAGUGGUUUCUGCUAAAGGAACCUUUUGUCGGUCCUAGAAACACCGAUGAAUAAGGGGUGGGCAAGUUCUGGUGUCAGCCGCCGCGGUAAAACCAGCACCUCAAGUGGUCAGGAUGAUUAUUGGGCCUAAAGCAUCCGUAGCCGGCUCUGUAAGUUUUCGGUUAAAUCUGUACGCUCAACGUACAGGCUGCCGGGAAUACUGCAGAGCUAGGGAGUGGGAGAGGUAGACGGUACUCGGUAGGAAGGGGUAAAAUCCUUUGAUCUAUUGAUGACCACCUGUGGCGAAGGCGGUCUACCAGAACACGUCCGACGGUGAGGGAUGAAAGCUGGGGGAGCAAACCGGACUAGAUACCCGGGUAGUCCCAGCUGUAAACUAUGCAAACUCAGUGAUGCAUUGGCUUGUGGCCAAUGCAGUGCUGCAGGGAAGCCGUUAAGUUUGCCGCCUGGGAAGUACGUACGCAAGUAUGAAACUUAAAGGAAUUGGCGGGGGAGCACCACAAGGGGUGAAGCCUGCGGUUCAAUUGGAUUC
rnacentral:rRNA from 1 species